GGAAAUGUCAUAGCUCAUUGGUAGAGCACCUGCUAGGCAUGCAGAAGGACUCAGGUUCAAUCCCUGACAUCUCCA